UUAAACUCCUUCUCUGUUACCCCAAGAGCCCAGCAUCCUGAGGAGGGACAUGCCAGCCCCUUUCCUACCAGACUCUGCCUGGGGUGCCAGGAUCCUCUGCUGUGCUGCCCUUUGUCUCUUGGGUGCAGGUUCAAUUGAUGUUGGAGUCACACAGUCCCCAAGAUACCUAAUCACAAGAAAAUGGGGACAGGCCACUCUCAAAUGCUAUCCUGUCCCGGGACACAGAGAUGGGACACAGGAGGCUCCUCACUGGACCUGAAAAGGGCAUCAGACUCCACUUCUGUGUGGUCAUUUGUCUCCUAUGGGCAGGAGCCCAGCACCUGAGUAAGGACAUGCCUGCUCCUGUCCUACCAGACUCCGCCUGGGGCACCAGGAUCCUCUGCUGUGCUGCCCUUUGUCUCCUGGGUGCAGGUUCAGUGGAUGUUGGAGUCACCCAGACCCCAAGAUACCUAAUCACAGAAAAGAGGGGCCAGGCCUCUCUCAAAUGCUAUCCUAUACCAGGACACAACUAUGUAUACUGGUACCAGUUGGCUCGAGACCAGGGUCCCCAGUUCCUCAUUUCGUUUUACGAAAAAAUGCUAAGAGAAAAAGGCAUCAUCCCUGAUCGAUUCUCGGUUGAACAGUUUGGUGAUUACCACUCUGAAAUGAACAUGAGCUCCUUGGAGCUGGGAGACUCCGCCUCGUACCUCUGUGCCAGCAGUGUAGACACAGCCCUGCAGAGCCACUGGUUUUCUGUACCCAAACCUUCCUGUCCCAGCUGA